UCAUUCAUUAUCAAACUCUAAUUAAAAUUUUUGUUGAUGGCAGAAGGAACUCGGGUGAUUUCGAUUCUGACCAACAAUCUGGGACGGAAACCGAAAGAAACAAUGUAAACGAGACCAAAGGAUCUUCCUUAAAGUCGUGCUUGUUCUUCCAGUCUGCACUGCAGGUUUUGCUGCUGUCUUGUGCUCCGUUCUGUAAGACUUCAUUUCCUCACAGAGACUAGAAGCCUAAGGGAUGAAGACUUAGGGACCUGAACAAUACAUCUCAGAUUUUGAAUAAAACACAUGAAAAAA